UCUUAUUAUAAGACAGCGCCAAAAAUCCCCCCUUAGAGUCAACAGAAAGGGGAGCUUUAUCACAAAAUCUUUGUUGCCCAUAGCAACCAAUAACAGCGUUAUGAAACGAAAGCUGUAACGUGAUUGGUUGCUAUAGGCAACAAAGCUAGUUUCUGUUUUACACAUCUCCCCCCAAAUAUUUCUGUAUGUCUAUAUUUUCUAAGAGCGUUUCCCUUAAAGAAGAAAAAUCCCAAUAAGCCAUCGUCUUCUUCAGGGUCUCAGAAGAAAAAUCCUCACGAGAGCCCUGGUGUCCCGGUGACCUCGGCUGCUCCUUGAGAACAGACGCUCAGCAUUGAGUCUUAAGGAGAUAAACGUGUAGAAACGUGAGGAGGAGAGCGCUAUUACGGCUAUUACAUACCUGCCGCAUAGCUCGUAUACCAGAGCGGUGACUGACGGGGCUCCCCACCCACAACACAUACCUGAGCCCUACACACCGGAUACAUUUCCUCUGAAUACCUUCAUUAAAAUUCUGCCUGAUGGUCGGAUGAACAGGACAGACCGGAUCCUGACACCGCGCGAGAUGUACAGAGGAAAGAGGUCUUCAACCUGCGGACCUCCAGAUGUUGCAAAA